CACGUAGGCACCAAGCGUUGUCCGGAUUUAUUGGGCGUAAAGAGCUCGUAGGCGGUUCAGUAAGUCGGGUGUGAAAACUCUGGGCUCAACCCAGAGACGCCACCCGAUACUGCUGUGACUUGAGUACGGUAGGGGAGUGGGGAAUUCCUGGUGUAGCGGUGAAAUGCGCAGAUAUCAGGAGGAACACCAGUGGCGAAAGCGCUCUACUGGGCCAUAACUGACACUGAGGGACGAAAGCUAGGGGAGCGAAAGGG
rnacentral:rRNA from 1 species